rnacentral:rRNA from 1 species
GACGAACGCUGGCGGCGUGCUUAACACAUGCAAGUCGAACGGAAAGGCCCUGCUUGCAGGGUACUCGAGUGGCGAACGGGUGAGUAACACGUGGGUGAUCUGCCCUGCGCUUCGGGUUAAGCCUGGGAAACUGGGUCUAUUACCGGUUAGUAGCCAUGGUUAGUGUGAUGGUUGGAAAGUUUUUUCGGUGUAGGAUGAGCUCGCGGCCUAUCAGCUUGUUGGUGGGGUAAUGGCCUACCAAGGCGGCGACGGGUAGCCGGCCUGAGAGGGUGGACGGCCAUACUGGGACCGAGAUACGGCAGAGGCGCCGAAGGGUGGACGAAGGGCGAAAGACUGCACCAGGCGCGCAGGGCUGAUGAAGAGACGCCGCGUGUGGGAUGGCGGCCUUAGGGUGGUAGAAUCCUAUCGAUAGGGAAGAAGCCUGUUGUGACGGUACCUAGAGAAGAAGCACCGGCUAACUACGUG